rnacentral:rRNA from 1 species
UACGUAGGGUGCAAGCGUUGUCCGGAAUUAUUGGGCGUAAAGAGCUCGUAGGCGGCUUGUCACGUCGACUGUGAAAACCCGGGGCUCAACUCCGGGCCUGCAGUCGAUACGGGCUGGCUUGAGUGCGGUAGGGGAGACUGGAAUUCCUGGUGUAGCGGUGAAAUGCGCAGAUAUCAGGAAGAACACCCGUGGCGAAAGCGGCUCUCUGGAACGGUACUGACGCUGAGACGCGAAAGCGUGGGGAGCGAACAGG